rnacentral:lncRNA from 1 species
AGACAAAACAGGUGCCAACUCGUGACAAACGGUCUUGGCUUGGGUUCAAACUCUUCCAGGGGUUCCUUAGAUAAUUUAGUUCCUUUUUGCUAUUUAGACCCUGGGGUUUUGGUGCCAUUAGCUAGGUGAACACCCCUGAUCUCUAGAUUAGGGCUGAUUUUGGACUUAGAGGGAAUGGGUGUGAUUCCAUAUUGUUCUCUACUUGGGGGCUGAUUUAGGGGUGUUAUAGGGGUCUUUUUGUAUUGUUCCUUUGCUAUCUUUUGUAAACAUUUUGGUACUCUUAAACUUUGGUUAAGGUUUAAAUUAUGAAAUGUGCAUUUGCCUAAUCUUUCUCUCAACUAAAGGCUUCAAGAGAGGGGGGGUCCAAGGUUCAAUCCUCCCUUGCCCUAGGUGAUCAUUGCCUAAAAGCUUGGGUAAUACUUUGGUCCUUGGCAUUACUUAACUCACUCAUGCUUCCAAGGUCUUAAGUACUCCCUCUCCUCCAAGUUUUAACCACAUGUAAUAAUAGGUAUAUGUGCCAUUAGGAAGCCAACACCUUGGUAACACCUGGGGUGUUACACGUAGCAUCACUUUAUUCAAAGUUUAGGCCAUAGUUCGCCGGUUUAGCUUUGGCCGGACAUGGUCGCCGCCACGGGUCUGGCGCGGCGCCGUCGUAUUACGGUGUCUGUUGGGGCAGGGGGCUCUCUGGCCAUGGAUUUCGCGGUGAACGACUGAGAUUAGAAUUUGCAUACCGUUUCACUCGGUGCGAUCCUGGCCAUUAGAAUGAGAUCGGAGGGUUCAUGAUUGAUUAUGACGUAGAUGCAACGUGGGCCGUGUGAUUGAAAUCCGAGGGCUCGUAUAACAUGCCACUUGUUCAUGUGUGGGGAUUCGAUCUGGGCGUCCAUUUCUAAUCGGGCGGAUGGCAGCCCACGAUACCCCCCUUCGGCCGAUUGAAUUUAUAGAAAGAACCCUCUAUUUUAGGGAAACAAACCCGUGGUCCAUAGGAACUGUACACUGAGUCUUAGGAAUUCUUACACGCUAGCCCCUGUGCUUCUAGUUAAUUGGUGCGCGGUCCAGACAGAUCUAAAAUCUAUAGAAUUUAUUUAGAAAAUGAGUUUUCUAGUAUAUGGCUCUGAUACCUUAAUGUCUCACCAACCAACGGUGUGCAAAGAUUUGGGAUCAAGGGCAAGUUAGCCCCUCGAUACAUUGGACCUUAUGAGAUUGUGGAACUUCGUGGACCAGUAGCUUAUAAGCUCAACUUCCACACAAGAUUUCUGCAAUACAUGAUGUCUUCCAUGUGUCUCAACUAAAGAAGUGCAUUCGAUUAUCGACAGAAGUCAUGGUCGAGGAAGAAAUGGAUAUAAAACCAAACCUUAUGAGGAACAUCCUAUCAAGAUCUUGGACUGCAAAGAGAAAGCCUCUCAAGAAGGCAAUCAAAAUGUUUAAGGUUCAAUGGAGGCAUCACACUGAAAAGGAAGCCACGUGGGAAACUAAGGAAUAUCUGGAUAAGAACUACCCCGAGUUUCUACCUAAGAAUGUUGGUACGUAACCCAUACCCCGUUUUACUCUAUUCCAAUCUUAAGGACAAGAUUAUUUUAAGGAGGUAGAAUGUGAAACCUCAUGUGUUAGCUAGAAGUAUAAACAAAACCACACCACUUAACCCAUUAUCACAUGUGCAUAAAAUAGAGCAAAAUCAUCCAAAGCUAAGGAUCAUGGUUCUAAUGAGGUAAUAAAAAACCUAGAAUACCUAACCCCUCCAUAGUGACCAAAAAGAAUGGAGUAAACCAAAACCCUAAGUUCACACAUAUGAGCAUAGGGACACUUAAAACAAAAUGAUUAAGAAAACUAACCAAAUCACUUAAUCAUAUGAGGACCCUUAACAAAAGUUGUAGAUAAUUAAGUGUACAGCAAAAGUUACCAUAAGCUUAAGCUAUGAAAAUGAAGGGAAGUUACUAAAAAGUGUAAGCCAAAGUGAAACCCUAAAAGAUAUGUAAGAACAUAUACCUAGCCUUAAACUCUUUCUUGUUCUCUAACCUCCAUUCAUCAAAUCACCUAGGUCCAAAUACAAAAAAUGUGUAAGAACAUUUGAUGCACAUCAUAUAAAAAUAUGAAAUCCAAGCCAAAUUGUUUUACACGACUUGGCUUGGUUUUUGCCUCUAUUCUAGCACAUCUCACAAACACUUUUCCCCAAGCUAUAUCUUUUGAUUUGAAUCACAUUUUGGCUUGGGACUUGCACAAAUCUUACAGAUCUCACAAGGAAAAAGAAAUCUUAUGCAAGGAUUAUUGCCAAAUUUGCUAUGGAUAGUGAGCCAAUGGGCAUUUUAAGUGUAGUAGACGACACUACCACAUGUUGGAUGUCAUGUGCCUGCCCGUGCUCGCGUAGUGGCCAUGCCGCACGUGCCCCUGCAUCAGCAAUCGGCAACCACCACCCUGCACUCCCCUCACGCUUAUAAAGCCAGGUCGGACAUGCUAGCACGCUCCCCUCCCUUGCUAAGACUAGCGCUCAGCCUUCUCGGAUCGCUACUCGUCUCUGAUGAGCUCCCCGUGCCCCGCCACUGCCUCCAAGAGCCAGCUACCAAGGCCAGCCAUCCUCGGCCAUCCUCCUCCUAGUCCGACGUUCAAGCCACCAUCCUCGAGGACCCAUGAAGUUUUCCCAAGCUUAUGUUGAAGCUCUACCACAUCGAAGAAGAGGGAUUACCCUCGCUGGACUUUCUCUACCCGCACACACGUGAUGACCGGCCACCACUGACCGUCUCUGCCGAUCAUCGACACCUACUUGUCCAUCGAGACCCCCUUUGCCUCCCUGAUCACCUCACUAGAGUUCCUGUGCCACCGGUAAGCCAUAAUUUCUCGUCCCUUCCUCGUGCACUUUUCCGACGACCGUUCGGACUGCUGGUUGAGUGAGAUAAAAACUUAGAGAGCUAAAUGCAAGGUUAGUGACAUGUAUGAAUAGUUUUCUAGGGGCAUGGUCAAAUAGCUUAGUUCAGGAUAAGUCUAGGGACCCCAGAUUGGUUGAAAUUGAAACCAUUUAGGUUGAAUGCCAUAGUACUAAUACCUAAAGCAGUGAACCAGAUCCCUACUACAGGCCAAGCAGCCAAUAAGAAGUGUAAAGAACGAGAAUUGUUGAAACUAGCAUAUUGGAAGAUUAAUCGACCAAAAUAACCGUGAGCAGCCACAAUAUUAUAAGUAUCUUCUUCCUGACCAAAUUUGUAACCCUCAUUAGUAAACUCAUUUUCAGUGGUUUCCCUGAACAAACUAGAGGUUACCAAGGAACCAUGCAUAGCACUGAAUAGGGAACCGCCGAAUACACCAGCUACACCUAACAUGUGAAAUGGAUGCAUAAGGAUGUUGUGUCUACCUAGAAUACAAUCAUAAAGUUGAAAGUACGAGAUAUUCCUAAAGGCAUGCCAUCAGAGAAACUUCCUUGACCAAUAGGGUAAAUCAAGAAAACAACAGUAGCAGCUGCAACAGGAGCUGAAUAUGCAACAGCAAUCCAAGGGCGCAUACCCAGACAGAAACUAAGUUCCCACUCAUGACCCAUAUAACAAGCUACACCAAGUAAGAAGUGUAGAAUAAUUAGCUCAUAAGGACCACCAUUGUAUAACCAUUCAUCAACAGAUGCAGCUUCCCAAAUUGGGUAAAAAUGCAAUCCGAUCGCCGCAAAAGUAGGAAUAAUAGCACCAGAGAUAAUAUUGUUUCCAUGAAGUAAAGAACCAGAAACAGGCUCACGAAUACCAUCAAUAUCUACUGGAGGAGCAGCGAUGAAGGCGAUAAUAAAUACGGAAGUUGCGGUCAAUAAGGUAGGGAUCAUCAAAACACUAAACCAUCCAAUGUAAAGACGGUUUUCGGUGCUAGUUAUCCAGUUGCAGAAGCGAUCCCAUAGGCUUGUACUUUCGCGUCUCUCUAAAAUUGCAGUCAUGGUAAGAUCUUGGUUUAUUCAAAUUGCAAGGACUCCCAAGCACACGUAUUAACUAGAAAGAAAAUAUAUAAU